UUUUUAGGGCCACACCUGCAGCACACAGACGUUCCCAGUUCCCAGGCUAGGGGUUGGGUUGAACUGCAGCUGCAACUGCUGGCCUAUGCCACAGCCAAAGCCACAGACACAGCCACACGGGAUCUGAGCUGUGUCUGUGAACUACACCACAGCUCAUAGCAACUCUGGAUCCUUAACCCACUGAGCAAGGCCAGGGAUUGAAACCACAUCCUCAUGGAUACUAGUCAGGUUCUUAAGCCCUGAGCCACAACAGGCAUUCCUACCCCUUUCCCAACUUAAGCUCUGUGUGGGCAGGGACCACAUCUGGCUUGUACCUAGAAUCAAGGGCUUGGGUCUGGGACUUAGGAAUGGCUUCUAUAAAAAUGUGUCAAUUGAACAUAGGAAGAACAUGCAAGCAGUGGAAACAAAAGGUCAAAUGGAUGGCCCUAGAACAGCCCAUCUACCACUCAAGCGAUUCAACAGGCACUAUAGUGGCCUGCAGGCACUGAAGGCAAUCAGACUAAUGCCCUAGAGACUCUGAGCCAGGCUCUGCCCGUAGGCCCUACUGUGUCUCCACUAGAGAGGCCCUUACCUGCGUGAGCGUCCUCCUGGCAGGAAACUCGUCCCAGGGAACAAAGAAUCAUGCACAUCAUUCAGGUUCUAGAAUGACAGGCCCAGGCCAGAAAGAGGAUUCACUUCUCAGGCCAGCAAGUAAUAAAACCAAAAAAAGGAACACUAGGCACAGAGAGAGUAGGAAGUAUCAGCGGCCCAGGCCGCAAUGGCCAGAAGCUCCAUCACGGGCAGGGGGGAGCACUGCAGGCGGCAGCAUCAACAGCCCGGAGUAGCAGCCAUCACGGCAGGGAGUGGGUGGGCUACUGCGCAGCUGGGGAGGCUAAGCUGGGGGGGCCUGGCCUGCCAGGGCAAGAGGGCCCCUUGCCUAAUUAUAGCACAAAGGUGCCAUCUGGGCGGGACCCAGGGCAGGUGGGGCAGGAUGUUGGUGACCAGUCUGGAGAGCUGUGCUCUUCCAUGGAAUGCUCCCUAGUGAUAAGCUGGGGCUCCAGGAGGGUAGAGACCUGAGGAGCAGGGAGCUGGAAAAUACUGGCCAGGUUAUUGUCUCUGUGGGCCUUUCCCCCCUCCACUCCUUGGACUGGCUGUGUCUGAGAAAACAGAGUAGGGAAUGUUCCUUGGGUUAUUAAAUGAUCCUGCCUCCACCUUCAGUGUCAUAGGCACUUCCUGACACUUGUUUGCCAUGCUGUCAGAACACUUCACACUUCAGUGGUGAGCCAGAAAGAAAAUCGAUAGAACUGGAGCUGUGAGGGAUUUCUCACAGACCUGGCGAAAUGGACAGCUUGCCUGGCCCUUCCAAUGCCCACAGAGGAGAAGGGGCUGGCUGCGUUUGACCCUUCCUGCCAGGAACUGUGUUCUAUCGGAGAGGCACAAGGAAAACACACACAUACACACGGAGACUAACCGGGUCUUGAGGUCUCAUCAGAACUGAGGUCUGCCUUCAUCUGCAAUGACGGGGCUGGGGGCCAGGGAAGGGAAGUCUUUUAGGCCGUGACUAAGCUCAGGGCACAAGAAUCCUAAUCUAGUCCAGAGAAAGGUGACAUUCAAGGGCACUUUUGGGUAAAAAUUAUGGAAUGUUCAUUCCUUCUGUGACAGGCGGGGUGUUAGACGUAGAUGCUUCAUAGACAUGAAGUCACUUAAUGCCUACAACCAUGGGUAUAUGCAUAAGGUCACUGAUGCCUGAAGAACCAUAGCCUAGCAGGACCUGGGCAGAGGGCAGUGCGGUGAGGGGUACAGUAGACUGACCCACGGGGACAUGUGGCAGGGUCAUCAUGACUUUUCAUCACUGAAUUCUCAAGGCCAUGCCCAAAGCAUGCAGAUGUUCGAUAAAUAUCCGUGGAAAGAACGAAAGAGGGCGACUCACCAAAAUAUCAUGGUUUAUGUCUGAGAGCAUCGACGCGUGCACGGCUCACCUGGAGCCUCGUGUUUACCGUGGGAGGAGGGACAGGAGCAGGUAUUUUCCCCACUGCUGUGGCAUUGUUGUUAUUAUUAUCAUUCUCCUUUUGCAGUGGACAGAAUUGACAGGAGGCUCAGAGAGUUUAAUUUUCCCAGGGAUGG
ensembl:lncRNA